GGGGCUGUAGCUCAGUGGUGAAGCAUCUGCUGAACAUGCAGAAAGUCCCAGGGUUCAAUCGCCAGCUUCUCCA
rnacentral:tRNA from 1 species